UGUGCCAGUGGAGGUAAGAUCUGCACUUUGCUCAGUCGCUUGCAUUAGGAGAAGCGAGGUCCUGCUGGAUUUGAAACCGUGUGGUAAAAUGUCAGUAAAUAUUUCAGAGCAUGAGGCAGCGUUUAGACACCACAGCCAUGUGUAAUGCUGAGCUUUGAGGGUCAAAGGCCUGCCUUUGGACUGCCAAAAUACAAGAACCACCCCUCAGAUUUGGGAUACUAAUGGUUCUUGGAAACACAGGCGGGCUUCUGCUGAAAGCCAGGUGGACUUAAAGAGGUUGGUAAUUGUUGCUAGGGCUUUUUCCUCUGCUGGGGAUGAAUACCAAAUGAGCUGUUAACGCGGGGAUGUGGAUGGACAGUUAGUAGGGUGCCUAUCAGAGCUUUCCUGGCACCAGCUUUUUCAUCUUUUCCCCUGCAACAGGAUGCUCAGAGGGACCCGCUGCAAUUCUCACUGCACCGUAUGGAAAUCAGUUCACGUUUUCUCUGGAGAAAGAAAAUAACUGCUUCUGGUUUCUGGUUCCUUUUUUUUUUUUUUUGGCCUUUUUUUUUUCUUUCUUUUUUCCCCUUACACUUUGGAGCCUAAGGUAGCUGCAUUUAGCAGCUUUAAUGUCCUUUCAUUGCUGCUGCUUGCAGGGUUGUGGUCACUCAGGCAGCAGUAACUUUGAAAAAAUGACCCGUCUACACCCAAACAAUAACAGAAUCCCCCUUUUUAUGUUGGCAACGCCCACCGCUUUCUCUUCUCUUCAAGACUCCCCACGUAGACGCAACUGUUUGACCAGCCUUCUUCUGAACAACUUAAUUAAGCAAAAGAAAAAGUGUCAGUUUCUGCCAACCCCACAAAAACAGAGCUGUGGGGGUAAAAAGGGGAUGUGGCACCAGCCUGCAUUCCUCAACGGGCUAAUGAAGGGAGACCCUCGCUUUGCAGCGCUGUCAGGCAUAGCCAGGGCUAUCGUGACAUACUGCUUCACCCACCACCCCAGACACGAUGGGAGCCGGUGUGACCCGUGUCCCGUAGACACAGAGGUGCCCUGGGAAGCACCUCUGGCUUGGCAGAGGGGCACGUGUGUGCCUCUUCCCAUUAGAGUCAGCCCAGGGGAUCAAGCAGUUUUCCAAGCUGCAUGAAAAGGGGAGCCCCUUUUUAUUGUCAGGGACAGGCUACAAUUCUGCAAAGGUCGGGGGCUGCUCUGACUUUGCACAGUGCACCUACCACCUCUGAAAUCAAUGGGCUGGCUGUUCACCCGCACAAGUACAGUGCACAUGUAGGUCUUUGAAGGACCACGGCUUUGUCUGGAAAAGAGUGCAAUCUCAGUACAUCUACAGAAGAGGAUGGAUGGAGGAUCAGGUCUGUGCUCUGGCUCAGCACACAGCCCACAUUAUUACCGUGAAAGGAUUCCCCUAGUGCUGGAGGGUGAUGCUUAAACACGUGGCUUUGGGUCCAGAUCUGUGGUGCUGCACAGGCAUCGCUUCAUCAUGAGGCAAAGGUGUAGGUGGCUUAGGCAGCCACAGUGGACAGCAAGACAGCCAACCUGUUAGUGCUUGUAGAGAUGCAGUGUCCUCACAGCAAGACCAGGGUACAUUUAGCUACAAAAGAUGCUGCUAUUACGGAAAAGUUGCUUAUCCAUCCUGGCCUGGACAAACCUGCCUUCACCAAGCACAUGCUGCCAAAGAAGCCUUUGAAGAAAGCAAGCGGAGACAUCAGUACAGCCAGCAAGCCUGACUUAUUUCUUUGCAUGUAAAGCUGUGCAAAACAGAUCUCACUCACAAACAUCUUCAAAUAAUCAUCUCAAAAACUGAAA